UCCGCGUGUCUUGCUCCCCGGAUUGAUCGACUGCUCUUGUCUGUUAUGUAGGUUUAUUGCUGUGAAAUUCGACCUUAACCAUCUGCUGACCCCCUCUUGUUUGCCGUGCUAUGGUGGUCCCUGCUACCCACACCCCACCACCCCACCACCACCCCCAAUUCAAACGCUCCAUCACGAAAUGUUUUUGACGUCACGUCCCUCCGUCUGCCGCUCACCCGAGAGAAAACAAAAAGGCAGCAAGACUCCAGCGCUGGUGUGAGAAUGUGUUAUUAUCGGCUUCGCCUUUUCUACCAUUUUAUACAAGUGAUGCUACAACCAAACACGAGGUCUCGAGUCAGCCCAGAGUUCGCCCUCUCCCCGGGGGGCCAGUAUUAAACCCCUCACCACCGACUAUCUACUUUAAUAGCUUUUUUCCACCCCCCACCCCCCUUUUUUUUUCUUCAUCUCUUUGGCUUAGCAAACAAUUUACACCCCUUACCAUAGGAAACAGUAGUGUGUGUGCAAACAAAGGGAUGGCUGCAAGAAACGAAACGUGGUUUUUGGUUGAUGGCCGUUUUCUGUGUUCCUCUAGGUGUGUUUCAUGUAGUGUUCCUGUAUGUCCACCUCUGCGUCAUGGCCUUCUCUGGCUGCUGACUCUGACGCUGCUGCUCCGCGCGCCUUGAAGCAACAGCUCUUCGUGGACAGAUCACCGUGGUUGGCCACCCUCCAUCGAAGCGGUGAACCAGGACUUGACACCUUACCAUAAGGAGGAAACCGGAGUACCGGGACGAAACCCACACAGACACGGGAAGAACAUGCAAAUUCCACA